rnacentral:tRNA from 2 species
GGAGGGGUGGCAGAGCGGUCAAAUGCAACGGACUGUAAAUCCGUCGACUUUAGUCUACGAAAGUUCGAAUCUUUCCCCCUCCACCA